rnacentral:tRNA from 1 species
GCUCCCGUAGCUCAGUUGGAUAGAGCAGUCGCCUUCUAAGCGACCGGUCAGCCGUUCGAAUCGGCUCGGGAGCG